UAUUACUUAUACUAUAGGUUAAGUCUUUUUAUAUUUGAUUAAUUUUAUUAUUCUUUUGCAGGUGGUGUCCUGAUAAAAUUUAUGAAUUAUUUAUGGAAAAACGUGUUGAUGUUUUAAAUGAGAGCAUAUUGACCACGAGUCAAAUUUUUGGAAUUCAACCCACUUGUUCACGUCGUGAAAAGAUUGAAUCCAUAUGGAGGUCAUUAGCAAAUCAAAUCGGCCUAUAGGAUAUGUGAAAAAGGUCCAUAACUCCUCUCACUACCAAAAUGAAGCUGGUCUACUCCUUUGGUUAUUCAAGAAAAUAAACCCAAGACUAGCAUAAGCUUCAGCAACUUAAAGAGCCAAAGCUCCUCCAUGUACCACCGUUCAGCAAUUACAUGGUUAUGUAUAAAAGCAAUAAGAGGACAAUUCGACCAUGCAAGGACAAGUGUGACUCUGAAAGCAAAAAGGACACAGAGACAUCUCCACUAUCCCAAAGACAUCAGCAGAGCAACAUUCGGCUAGUGGGUGAGCAAAACACAAAUUUGCAAAUAGCAGUAGCAGCAGGGAAAUGGAGAAAAUGAAAAAAGAGUGCAUGCCUAGGAAGAAAGCAAAACAAUGGACCACAGAGUGGACAGGCUCCUCAUCCAGCAAGAGUAGUGGAGCAUGAUGAAGAAGGACUGUUUGCUAGCUGUGACAGCUCUAACGGGCAGCAAGGACAAGCAAAAGGAAGAAGCAACAAUGAAGGCAAGCUGAAGACAUAUAAGGAGCUUCACUACAUCAAUUUCAAAGCAAGAAAAAGAGAGAACACACACAGAGCAUCAUCACAAACAUGAAGCUGAAAUCUUUUUUUUCUACUCAAGCUUAAUUUAUGAUUUUCUUUGUUAUGGCUGUCUUAUGUCAUUUUCUGUUUUGAAAAAAGGCCGAACUUGUGAGGUUGAAAAGCCAAGAGAGUUGCAUAAGAGCUACUGAUUUCUGAUGUGAUUGAGUUGUUGAACUAGGAUUAGUUUCUCUUGCCAAGUUGGGUUAGCACUUGGUGAGUUUUGAAUCUGUUAGGAUUCCCCUUCCAAGUUGAGAAAGCACUUGGAGUAGAUACUAGUUGAAUUAGGAAGUAAUUCAAUACUAAUAGUAUUGGUGAAUAUAAUCAGUGGAUUAUAGUGGAAAUUCCACCAUGGUUUGUGGUGGAG